GGUUGAGGACUGCACACUUCCAGAUGUGUGCCGAGGUCGAUGACGUCACUGCGCUGCAGCAGCAUGGCGAUUUAAACCAGGUUGAUGUUCAUUCAG